UGUGUAUAAGGGACAGGUGAGUCAUCGAAUCUUUGAACGCACAUUGCGCCCCUUGGUAUUCCAUGGGGCAUGCCUGUUCGAGCGUCAUUUGUACCUUCAAGCUCUGCUUGGUGUUGGGUGUUUGUCCUCUCCCUAGUGUUUGGACUCGCCUUAAAAUAAUUGGCAGCCAGUGUUUUGGUAUUGAAGCGCAGCACAAGUCGCGAUUCCUACUAAAUACUGGCAUCCACAAGCCUUUUUAACUUUUGACCUCGGAUCAGGUAGGGAUACCCGCUGAACUUAAGCAUAUCAAUAAGCGGAGGA
rnacentral:misc_RNA from 1 species